rnacentral:lncRNA from 1 species
UGUAAAGCAGGAACUAUUAUGACUAGAAGUUAUAAUUGUUUAUGAUUUUCAAAUUCUUAAAUGUGUGUAAAUAAACUAGUUUGAGUUGUAGUAUUACUAUGUUACAAAUAUAGACCAUGAUUUCCAUAAAACGAUCACUUUGGUUACAUCCUUGCAUAAAGCUAAUUUUCUACCAUAAAAAACAUGAAGCCAGAUUUUGGUGGCCAGACCUUGUCGGUAUUCUCCAUAACCUGUGGAUGGCGAUCUAAUCGGUUGCAAUACUACUGUAUGGUCAUGAAUGCAAUACUAUCAUAUGGUCAUGAGACGGGGGCUAAAGAAGAGUGAACACAAGUUGUCAACAAUGACCACAGGGUUCCAUGAAGUCCGUUGCACUCUAAAGUAUAUGCUGCAGUUUUAGAGGCGUUUGUUAUCUCCUUCAGCAGGUCUCUAUAAUCAAAACUAGCCACAUAUAAAAGGAUGGCUUAAUUAGUAGAAUUUGGAUUAAGCAAGACCCUGCAGGUGUAUAUACCACAGCGCAACGAUUCACAUGCAUAAUAAAAGAAAACUCUACGAACUCCUUGAUUCUUGAUUACUGGUAGUGUGAAAUGGUUACGGUAAACAUAACAAUUCACAUUAAAAAAUCAUCUGGAUUAUGUAGUGUUAAAUUCAUAUUACAUUCCAUUGCUCCUGGAUGAUAUGGGGA